AGAGAGAGGGUCAUCGUGAGCCAAGAAAGUCAAUGAUGGUAUCAGAAAAGGUGACCGAGAGGGACCAUGAAAUCUUCCUACACAUAGGGAGUCAGCAAACACAGAAAUCUAACCUGACUGCUGGCAGGCAUUUGGGCCCCCGUGAGGUAGACCUGUCUGACCCCAUCCACCCUUACCGGAAAUCUCACUGUCUCACCUGGGGGAGCUGGAGGGAGAGAUCCUGAACACAAAGCCUCGGAGGCCUUCCCAAGCACAGCUAAGGCAGUUUUAGCUUCUACCCCUUACCAGAUGAGUCUCCUUCCCCCAAACCCCCAAAGUUAUGACUAAACUCGUGGGGAGAACAGGCUUGGGAUGACCCAGAGGUAUAUUCACCAACCCAUUGAGGGUGAAAUGGCCCCCAUGACUUCAGGAGUAAUUU